CGCCUGUUUAACAAAAACAUGUUUUUAUGAAUAUAUUAUAAAAUUGGGCCUGCUCAAUGAUUAAAUUUAAAUUGCCGCAGUAUUUUAACUGUGCAAAGGUAGCAUAAUCAUUUGUUUUUUAAUUGAAAACUGGAAUGAAGGGUUUGACAAGAAAUUUUCUGUCUCGAAUAUAAUAUUGAAUUUUAUUUUUAAGUGAAAAAGCUUAAAUUUUGUUAAUAGACGAGAAGACCCUAUAGAGUUUUAUUUAAUUGGAUUUUAAGUUAAUUUAAUUAAAUUUUAUUGGGGUGAUAGAAAAAUUUAUUUAACUUUUUUUUUAUUAUAUAUUUAUUUAUAGAUUUUUGAUUAAUAUUUUAUUAUUGUAAGAUUAAAUUACCUUAGGGAUAACAGCGUAAUUUUUUAUUAUAGUUCUAAUUGAUUAAAAAGUUUGCGACCUCGAUGUUGGAUUAA
rnacentral:rRNA from 1 species